AUGAGGUCCACUGACUGCAGACAUGAGGAAGACAGAAACGGGAGCCAUUGCAGCAGCAGCAGCAGAACCAGCAGAGCUGAGGGUGGAGGUGACGAUGAAGCAGAGGCGCGAAAUAAAGAGUUGCAGAGUGAAGCCGAGAAAACUCGUCCUCCUGCUGCAACAACUAGGAAGAAGCAUGCACAGCCAACUCUACCACUUGUUUGAUAAGCAGAGAAAAUAUGACCCCAAGUCACCAGAAGCUGUGAAACUA